CGCGGCCUAUCAGCUUGUUGGUGGGGUAGUGGCCUACCAAGGCGACGACGGGUAGCCGGCCUGAGAGGGUGACCGGCCACACUGGGACUGAGACACGGCCCAGACUCCUACGGGAGGCAGCAGUGGGGAAUAUUGCGCAAUGGGCGAAAGCCUGACGCAGCGACGCCGCGUGGGGGAUGACGGCCUUCGGGUUGUAAACCUCUUUCAGCAGGGACGAAGCGAAAGUGACGGUACCUGCAGAAGAAGCACCGGCCAACUACGUGCCAGCAGCCGCGGUAAUACGUAGGGCGCAAGCGUUAUCCGGAAUUAUUGGGCGUAAAGAGCUCGUAGGCGGUUUGUCGCGUCUGCCGUGAAAGUCCGGGGCUCAACUCCGGAUCUGCGGUGGGUACGGGCAGACUAGAGUGAUGUAGGGGAGACUGGAAUUCCUGGUGUAGCGGUGAAAUGCGCAGAUAUCAGGAGGAACACCGAUGGCGAAGGCAGGUCUCUGGGCAUUAACUGACGCUGAGGAGCGAAAGCAUGGGGAGCGAACAGGAUUAGAUACCCUGGUAGUCCAUGCCGUAAACGUUGGGCACUAGGUGUGGGGGACAUUCCACGUUUUCCGCGCCGUAGCUAACGCAUUAAGUGCCCCGCCUGGGGAGUACGG
rnacentral:rRNA from 1 species